rnacentral:rRNA from 1 species
UGGGGAAUAUUGCACAAUGGGGGAAACCCUGAUGCAGCGACGCCGCGUGAACGAAGAAGGUAUUCGUAUCGUAAAGUUCUGUCCUAUGGGCAGAUAAUGACAGUACCAUAGAAGAAAGCUCCGGCUAAAUACGUGCCAGCAGCCGCGGUAAUACGUAUGGAGCGAGCGUUGUCCGGAAUUAUUGGGCGUAAAGGGUACGCAGGCGGUUUAAUAAGUCGAAUGUUAAAGAUCGGUGCUCAACCCCGCAAAGCAUUGGAAACUGAUGAACUUGAGUAGUGGAGAGGAGAGUGGAAUUCCUAGUGUAGUGGUGAAAUACGUAGAUAUUAGGAGGAAUACCAGUAGCGAAGGCGACUUUCUGGACACAAACUGACGCUGAGGUACGAAAGCGUGGGGAGCAAACAGG